UACGGGGGGGGCAAGCGUUGUUCGGAAUUACUGGGCGUAAAGCGCGCGUAGGCGGCUUUUCAAGUCGAGCGUGAAAUCUCCGGUCUUAAAUCGGAAACGGCGUUCGAUACUGUCGAGCUGGAGUACUGAAGAGGUAGCUGGAAUUCCCGAUGUAGCGGUGAAAUGCGUAGAGAUCGGGAGGAACACCGGCGGCGAAGGCGGGCUACUGGGCAGAUACUGACGCUGAGGCGCGAAAGCCAGGGGAGCAAACCGG
rnacentral:rRNA from 1 species